CGGAAUGUAGCUCAGCUUGGUAGAGCACUUGGUUUGGGACCAAGGGGUCGUAGGUUCGAAUCCUGUCAUUCCGAUCA
rnacentral:tRNA from 8 species